rnacentral:rRNA from 2 species
UCCGCAAGGAAGUAAGAUCCCUGAAAGAUGAUCAGGUUGAUAGGUCUGAGGUGGAAGUGUGGCGACACAUGGAGCUGACAGAUACUAAUCGAUCGAGGACUUAACCCA